UCCUCGGUUGUCUUUUUUUUUUCUUUCUUCUUCUUUCUCAGUGACUUUCAUUCAUUCAUUUUCUUUAAUCCUCUUGUGUCGAUCGAAUAUUUGAAUGGACUGGAACGAGAAAGGGAAUAUCGGUGGAGGUUGGGUGUAAAAUUUUGCCUGCUACAGAUGACAUUAAAGUUUCCAGAUUUAGUGGAUCAAAUAUCAUUUUUUUUAUGUGUAUAAAAGCGAGAUGGGACUGAAGACGUCUGUAAAAGGCACCUUCAAAAUAUCAGCUUCAUGCAAGGUGAUGGUGACGAAGAUGGUGAUGGUGAUGGUGAUCCAACGCUCUUUCUUCCUCACUUAAAUAAGUCAUCGUUGAUGCAACUUCACCUUCCCAAAUGUUACCA